rnacentral:tRNA from 1 species
GGAGUGAUGGCCGAGCGGCUUAAGGCGCACGCCUGGAAAGCGUGUUGGGGGCAACCCCUCGGGGGUUCGAAUCCCCCUCACUCCG